AAUUGGUUUUCGGGUGCAACCUCAACUUCCUUCAUUCCUAAGGGUUUAGAGAGAACGUUGGACGCUCCCGGUAUUGUAGAUAAUUUCUACUUGAAUUUACUAGAAUGGAGCAGCAGCAACAUUCUUGCAAUUGCUCUUGGAAACUCAGUGUACCUAUGGCAGAGCUCACUGGCCAUACCUCCAGAGUUCUCUUCAUGACACAGACCCCAGGUGGAUGCACUGUGGCCACUGCAGCCGCGGAUGAGACGGUUCGAACUUGGAAUGUGUUUGGGAUUCCGGGAGUUUCAGAACCUCUACGAAAAGAAAAUCUGCUGCCAUUUGCUCAUUCAAGCUCCAUUCGUUGAAGAUCAUGUAAAUGCUGGAGAGAAGUUUGUCUGUUUUGUCUCGGAUGCCAAACCAAGCAGAUAAGUGUAUAUGGUGUACAUUAUUGUUUACAAGAGCAAAAGCAAAUAAGUGAAUAUGGUUACACGAAUAGAGAAAAAGAAAAAAGCAGUUUUGAUUAGUGAUUGGCAUGCAGUCUCUCAGUUCAGUAUAUCUGAAUAGACAAUAUAA